rnacentral:tRNA from 1 species
GUGGCUGUGGCUCAAUAGUAGAGCACUUGCCUGGCAUGUGUGUGAGGCCCUGGGUUCAAUCCUCAGCACCACA